GCGACCCCAGGAUGGGUGAGGCCACCCGCUGAGUUUAAGCAUAUCAAUAAGCGGAGG
rnacentral:rRNA from 1 species